rnacentral:misc_RNA from 1 species
AAAUCUGUAAUUUUUUUUUUUAAAGCUACCGCAAUUCAUUUUUUAUUUUUUUUUUGAAACAAAAGACACAAAAGAAAAGGAAGAGAAAAAAAAAAUUUAAAAUUAAGAAUUACUAAAGAAAAUGCAAAAUAUAAAAAAAACAAGGAUAUUAAUGAACAAGUCACAAACGAAAUAGUAUGAUAAACAAAUAGCAAAAAGAAAAUACAAAAGGAGAGAUAGAACCUGAUUUGGAGCUAACGCUCUGAUAACAAAAUUGAUGUGAACCUCAAUAACGAUGCCUUUAAACCCACGAGCAGGUUUGUUUUAUAAUCCCAAUA